AGCUAAUAGAUACCCAGGUAGUCCUGGCCGUAAACGAUGACCACUCGAUAUAGGAGGUAUCGACCCCUUCUGUGUCGCAAAGCUAACGCGAUAAGUGGUCCGCCUGGGGAGUACGGUCGCAAGAUUAAAACUCAAAGGAAUUGACGGGGACCCGCACAAGCAGCGGAGCGUGUGGUUUAAUUCGAUGUAACGCGAAGAACCUUACCAGAACUUGACAUGCUCUUGCACCACCCGUCAUGGGGUGUACCCGCAAGGGACAGGAGCACAGGUGCUGCAUGGCUGUCGUCAGCUCGUGUCGUGAGAUGUUGGGUUAAGUCCCGCAACGAGCGCAACCCCCAUGGCUAGUUGGAUCUGUCUAGCUAGACUGCCACUCUCAAAGUGGAGGAAGGUGGGGAUGACGUCAAGUCAGCACGGCCCUUACGUCCUGGGCGACACACACGCUACAAUGGCCGGGACAACGAGUCGCCAACCCGCGAGGGGAGCCAAUCUCAACAAACCCGGGUCUCAGUUCAGAUUGUAGGCUGCAACCC
rnacentral:rRNA from 1 species